rnacentral:lncRNA from 1 species
GGUCAACAAUGCACUGUUGCAGUGGCUACAGACUGCCCUCCUGGAUCUAUAUUGAAGAUGAAAGAUGGUAAUUGUUGUCCCACAUGCGAACCAUUCGGUAAUCCACUGUCAAAGCCUUAAAACUGAAGAAUAUUGAAGGAUAUUGUUGUGUCACCUGCCAAGUUAUUUUAGGUAACUAAUAAUAAAUCAAGGAAAUAUUUCAACUAUCAGAAAAAAGACCUGCGGUAGAUGAAAAAUUACCAAUAAAUUAAUGAACUAUGACAAAACUUAA